rnacentral:lncRNA from 1 species
AGCAGAACAUGCAUUUUUGACCUUGUCUUACUAAUAAUUUUAUUUUGCAGGAGGAAGAGGAAGAAACAAAAGUAACUUCUCUCCUAGAUUUAAUUCUGACCUACCAGGAAGAACUGGUUGUUGAAGCCGAAGUACUGGAGUCUCUGGAGCCAGACACCUGAACUGAGGGUAGAGAAGGAAGGAAGAAAGAAAGAA